UACAGAGGUCUCAAGCGUUGUCCGGAUUUAUUGGGCGUAAAGAGCUCGUAGGCGGUUCGGCAAGUCGGGUGUGAAAUUUCGAGGCUCAACCUCGAAACGCCACUCGAUACUGCUGUGACUGGAGUCCGGUAGAGGAGUGCGGAAUUCCUGGUGUAGCGGUGAAAUGCGCAGAUAUCAGGAGGAACACCAACGGCGAAGGCAGCACUCUGGGCCGGUACUGACGCUGAGGAGCGAAAGCGUGGGUAGCAAACAGG
rnacentral:rRNA from 1 species